rnacentral:lncRNA from 1 species
AUGAUAAUAAUACACCAAAAAAAUAAUAUAAAUUUAAAUAAACAAUUGGAUGAAAAUUAUAAUUCUGAAACGGAAAGUUGUAUGAGCGAAGCAUAUAAUAGUUCAUCGAUGUAUACGAACAGUAUUUGUGAAGAUGACCAUAUUAUAGUAAAUAACGAACUAGCGACAGAAGAAGAACAAGAACAAUGUUACGAUAACAAUAACAAUAAUAAAAAUAAAAGUUGUACAAUAUCUAUUGAUAAUUAUUCAACAUACAAAAAUGAAAACAAUGAAACAAUAAUUAAAGAAGUAAAUUAUCAAAAUAUGUUUAAUUAUAUUAAAAAUUGGACGAAAACAAAAGAAUUAAGUCAUUUUUUAAAAACAGAAAAAAAGUUAUUAUACAUAAAAAGAAAAACAUUUAAAGAUAAUAUUUGUAACAUAUAUUUAAAUAGUAUGAAUGAACAAGAUGAAAUAGUUAAGGAUAAUAAUAUCGAAAUAAAUUAUGAUCAUGUAGAUGAUACAAGUUAUAAAAAUAAAUUUACUGGUAAUAAUAAAAAUAAACCAAUAAAUUGUAUAGAUUAUUAUUUUGACGAUAUAAUGGAACUAAGUAAAUGCAAAAAUAAUAUUUACAAAAAUCUGAUUUUAAAUAUAUCUACAAAUAAAACAAAAUGGAAUGAUUAUUUGAAUAGUGAUGUUAUUAAUUAUGAUCAACAAAAAAAAACAGACAUACAACAUAUAGAUAUCCCACUAGCCAAAUUAAAUAAAGAAUCUUUUUAUUUUUAUAAAAUAGUGAUAGAUAACCUUUUAAAAAAAUCAAAUCUGGACGAUACGAUAAAUCAAUACAUAUCUUUUAAACUGAAAGAUUUUAUUUUUAUUAAUCAAUUUGUUAUGUAUCAUAAUUUUUACGUCUUUAUAAAUUAUAUUCUUGGAAUAGAAACUGGACCGACAAUUGGUCUUGAAAAUGUAGGUGCAACUACCGAUAUGGGUAAUGGUGGAACUAACGAUAUGGAUAAUGGUGGAACUANNNNNNNNNNAACUAACGAUAUGGAUAAUGGUGGAACUACCGAUAUGGGUAAUGGUGGAACUACCGAUAUGGGUAAUGGUGCUACCACCAGUACGAGUGGGAAAGAUGUAAAAUGUAACAGAAUCAAGCAACAGAACCCAAACAAAAAAAACAAACACAAAUGUCACAUCAUGCUAUAUGUUCGAAGACAUAAAAAACUAUAA